rnacentral:tRNA from 1 species
AAAGGGCCGGGGCUUCCCCCGUUUUUUCCCCCAAACGGGAAAAG